rnacentral:rRNA from 1 species
GACAGAGGUGCCGAGCGUUAGGCGGAAUCACUGGGCUUAAAGCGUGUGUAGGCGGACCGUUAAGUGUCUUGUGAAAUCCCCCGGCUCAACCGGGGAAUUGCUGGGCAUACUGGCGGUCUUGAGCAGUCUAGGGGCAGAUGGAACAAGUGGUGGAGCGGUGAAAUGCGUAGAUAUCACUUGGAACGCCAAUGGUGAAAACAGACUGCUGGGGGUUCGCUGACGCUGAGACACGAAAGCCAGGGGAGCAAACGGG